rnacentral:rRNA from 1 species
CCUACGGGGGGCAGCAGUGGGGAAUAUUGGACAAUGGGGGCAACCCUGAUCCAGCCAUGCCGCGUGAGUGAUGAAGGCCUUCGGGUUGUAAAGCUCUUUUGGCGGGGACGAUGAUGACGGUACCCGCAGAAUAAGCCCCGGCUAACUUCGUGCCAGCAGCCGCGGUAAGACGAAGGGGGCUAGCGUUGUUCGGAAUUACUGGGCGUAAAGCGAGUGUAGGCGGUUGCCGUAGUCAGGUGUGAAAGCCUUGAGCUCAACUCAAGAAAUGCACUUGAUACUCGGUGGCUAGAGUACCGGAGAGGAUAGUGGAAUUCCCAGUGUAGUGGUGAAAUACGUAGAGAUUGGGAAGAACACCAGUGGCGAAGGCGGCUAUCUGGACGGUUACUGACGCUAAGACUCGAAAGCGUGGGGAGCAAACAGGAUUAGAUACCCGUGUAGUC